ACGGACCCGUAGUGAAAGAAUCUCAGGUCUUCAACAAAGCCAAACUGUUGCUAGAAUACUAACCCAUUGCACUAGUUGAGUUUCCCAAGGCUCAAGGAUUUUAGUGUUUAUGCUUCUCUUGGUGCCUUCUCAAGUGGCCCAUCCCAUAUCUAAAUUGGUUGGAUAAGUGCUUCCAUGUGUCGCGCGCAGCCUUCUUCUUACCCUUAGGGAGCACCUCGAUUUUAAAUGCGUUAGAAUUCUUACCUUUAGGGAGGACCUCGAUUUUAAAUGUCUUCCGAACAGUGGACGUUUAUCGCCAUGACGUCUGCAAGACAUCAUUCAGGGUAUAUUGCUCGACUUAGGCGUAGGGGUUUCGCCAAGGGAGGGGUGUCAGCAUCGCCCCAUGGCAGGUGAUAACCUACUAUUACACUGCAUUUUCUAAUAAUCAUCUGGUUAUUGCAUCUCGUUGUUGUAGUCGUGAAUUUAUUGUUUUUUCUCUAGCGGCAGGAGCACAAAGAGAGUUUCCUGC
rnacentral:lncRNA from 1 species